AAUAGAGAAGUAAAUUACAUUUAGUUUCGACCUAAAAAUUUAAGAAUAACCAUUCUUCCUAUUU
rnacentral:tRNA from 1 species